rnacentral:rRNA from 1 species
UACAGAGGUGGCAAGCGUUGUUCGGAAUUACUGGGCGUAAAGGGCUCGUAGGCGGCCAACUAAGUCGGACGUGAAAUCCCUCAGCUUAACUGGGGAACUGCGUCCGAUACUGGAUGGCUUGGAUUUGGGAGAGGGAUGCGGAAUUCCAGGUGUAGCGGUGAAAUGCGUAGAUAUCUGGAGGAACACCGGUGGCGAAGGCGGCAUCCUGGACCAAUAUUGACGCUGAGGAGCGAAAGCUAGGGGAGCAAACGGG